rnacentral:misc_RNA from 1 species
GAUGAAGAACGUAGCGAAAUGCGAUAAGUAAUGUGAAUUGCAGAAUUCAGUGAAUCAUCGAAUCUUUGAACGCACAUUGCGCCCGCGAGUAUUCUGGCGGGCAUGCCUGUUCGAGCGUCAUUUCAACCAUCAAGCCCCCGGCUUGUGUUGGGGACCUGCGGCUGCCGCAGGCCCUGAAAACCAGUGGCGGGCUCGCUAGUCACUCCGAGCGUAGUAAUACAUCUCGCUCAGGGCGUGCUGCGGGUUCCGGCCGUUAAAAAGCCUUAUUUACCCAAGGUUGACCUCGGAUCAGGUAGGAAGACCCGCUGAACUUAAGCAUAUCAAUAAGCGGAGGA